rnacentral:rRNA from 1 species
AGAGUUUGAUCCUGGCUCAGGAUGAACGCUAGCGGCAGGCUUAAUACAUGCAAGUCGAGGGGUAGCAUGAUUGUAGCAAUACAAUUGAUGACGACCGGCAAACGGGUGCGGAACACGUACACAACCUUCCUACAAGUGGGGAAUAGCCCAGAGAAAUUUGGAUUAAUACCCCGUAACAUAGCGAUGUGGCAUCACAUUGCUAUUAUAGCUUCGGCGCUUGUUGAUGGGUGUGCGGCUGAUUAGAUAGUUGGCGGGGUAACGGCCCACCAAGUCUACGAUCAGUAGCUGAUGUGAGAGCAUGAUCAGCCACACGGGCACUGAGACACGGGCCCGACUCCUACGGGAGGCAGCAGUAAGGAAUAUUGGACAAUGGACGCAAGUCUGAUCCAGCCAUGCCGCGUGAAGGAUUAAGGUCCUCUGGAUUGUAAACUUCUUUUAUAAGGGACGAAAAAAGGUCUUUCUAGAUCGUCUGACGGUACCUUAUGAAUAAGCACCGGCUAACUCCGUGCCAGCAGCCGCGGUAAUACGGAGGGUGCAAGCGUUAUCCGGAUUCACUGGGUUUAAAGGGUGCGUAGGCGGGCAGGUAAGUCAGUGGUGAAAUCCU